rnacentral:rRNA from 1 species
UACAGAGGGUGCGAGCGUUAAUCGGAAUCACUGGGCGUAAAGCGCACGUAGGCGGACUCUUAAGUCGGUGGUGAAAUCCUGGAGCUCAACUCCAGAACUGCCUUCGAUACUGGGAGUCUCGAGUCCGGGAGAGGUGAGUGGAACUGCGAGUGUAGAGGUGAAAUUCGUAGAUAUUCGCAAGAACACCAGUGGCGAAGGCGGCUCACUGGCCCGGUACUGACGCUGAGGUGCGAAAGCGUGGGGAGCAAACAGG